AACGCACAUUGCGCCCGCCAGCAUUCUGGCGGGCAUGCCUGUUCGAGCGUCAUUUCAACACUCGCGCCCAUCCGGGCUGCGGCGUUGGGGACCGGCAACCGACCUCCGCCAUCCGCGGAGGGCGCGCCGCCCCCCAAAUACAGUGGCGGUCUCGCUGCGGCCUCCCUUGCGUAGUAGCACACCUCGCACUGGAGCGCAGCAUGGCCACGCCGUGAAACACCCAACUUCUGAAGAUUGACCUCGGAUCAGGUAGGAAUACCCGCUGAACUUAA
rnacentral:misc_RNA from 1 species